rnacentral:lncRNA from 1 species
CUUAAUUUUAAAACAGAAGAAUAACAGCAACAAGGAACCAGAACAUUACACAGAAACCCUACAGCUAAAGAGAUGUGACUUUUCUGAAGUUCCAUAAGCAUCUUGAAGUAUUCAGCAGAAAAUAUUCAGAUGAUAAAACAAGCUGAAAUAACAUCACAGCCGAAGUUUUGUGGAGAUUUUGAUGAUACAAGUGAAAGGCACCUUGUCCAUGCACCAGGGCAGCUCACGGUGCUUUGCUGGGAACUGCAGACAGAGGCAGAUUGUACAAUGCUGGACAGCUUCCAAGGCAUUUCC